ACCCUCUUUAUCGCUUCCAGAGAAUCUGGGAAAUGUCAACUCCAAUGUAAAUAACUUGCAGUCUGUUCAAGGAUCCAACCAAUGAAGUACAAAUGCACUAGUACUCUCUUUAGUAAUUUUGAAAAUGUUUUUGAAUCAAUACCAAUAAAAAUCCACAAAAGAGAUAUGCCAAAUGAUGAUUUGUAUGACUAAAUCAGACAUUCAGAAGCCUUACCCAUUUCUCAAGACUAAGAGCCUAUACCUA
rnacentral:lncRNA from 1 species